rnacentral:lncRNA from 1 species
UGGACGAGGAGGAGGACGAGGAAGACGAGGAGAACAAGGUGAACAAAGAGGACAAGGAUCAGUGCUCGGUAUAACACGAGGUGGUUAGCGGUCGUCGUUGGAGGUGGUUUGAGGUGGUUACGGGAUGGUUGCGGGUGAUCGAGGAUUCCAAGUAUUUGACAACAGUGAUACCUUAUCGCAUGGACAAUGGCCCACCUCAUAAUCAAGCUUUAAAAGUCCUCAUUAAGAUAUUAAAGGCUAUUAAUGAGGAUAGUCCAACGGUGCCCACAUUAUUAACGGACUACAUAUUGAAAGUUCUGUGCCCCACCUACUGAUCCACUGGAACAUAUCCUCCGACGUGACAUCGCUCUGCU